AAGUUCUGUGGAUGAAAGGGGCCACACGCUGACCUGACAAGCUCAGGGAAGGCCUGCGUGGCAGCCUAGCAGACUCAGAGACCUAAAAUAACCACAAAGGAUGGUCUGAAAUUAAACCUUAACUAAAAGCAGUUAUGGUGGGCAGUUAUGUCCUAAGCCAGUAUCUUCACUGACAAGAUCAACUUUGAUCCUUACUGAGCCCAUUUGCCUUUUUGCCUCUAAGAUAACAAUACCCUUGAAAUGUCUGGGUAACUUGUAACUUCCCUUUUUUCUGGAGCCCCUGGGGCACAACCAAAUGUUCUGGGCGCCAGGACAGAUACUACAAAUUCCUUCAUUAUCAUGUUAAUUGAUCCUGCACCCACCUAAGUAUAGGUUUCCCCUGCUUCGAUUAAUCCCACCUCCUUAAAUCUGUCACCAAUGAAUUUCAUGUAUAAAUACGGAUGUAACCCUGCCAUUCUCCGGAGCACUAUCUCAAUUCGUUGAGGUUCUGCUUCCCGGCAUAUGUCGACAGUUUGGCUCAAAUAAACUCACAAAAAUUCUU